UACGUAGGGGGCAAGCGUUGUCCGGAAUCAUUGGGCGUAAAGAGCGUGUAGGCGGCCAGACAGGUCCGUUGUGAAAACUCGAGGCUCAACCUCGAGACGCCGAUGGAAACCGUCUGGCUAGAGUCCGGAAGAGGAGAGUGGAAUUCCUGGUGUAGCGGUGAAAUGCGCAGAUAUCAGGAAGAACACCCGUGGCUAAGGCGGCUCUCUAGUACGGUACUGACGCUGAGACGCGAAAGCGUGGGGAGCGAACAGG
rnacentral:rRNA from 1 species